AUUUUAUUUACAAAUUUGUAAUUAUUGAUUAAUAUUUUUUAAUACAUAACUCUUAUAUAUUAUUAAUAUAUGUUUAUUAUAAUUUUAAAUAUAUUUAAUCUAUAUAUAAAAAUUAUAAUAAUAAUAUAUAUAGUAUAUUAAUUAUUAUAUAUUUUUUAUAUAGCUGAAUUUUUUAUCCCUAAUUUUUAAUUGGUGAACGUAUAAUACCCAUAUAAAUCACGUAUCCAAAUAAUUGCCGAAUCCGUUUUUUAGCCGUAUUUUUCAACAAUUUAAAAAUUCAGUGACGAAUUUUAUCCGAAUUAUAUCCGUACCGAAUUUUUGCCGAAUCUGAAUUAACUAACUAUACCUCCAGCAACCAAGGUUGAUUUAGCUGCGAUCGAUCUCAUCUGUUCAUCUGCUCGCUCCCGACGUGCUUAAUUAAUUAAUUGAUAUUUGAAGGGCAAAUAAAAAAGUAUUUGCUAUAUGAAGGGUAUAUAAGAAAAGUUAGUUACGGUAUAAGGGUAUAUUGGAAUGGGUAAAAUAGUAAUUUUCCAGAGAUAACAGUAACUGUUAACACAUCACUAACGGUAUUUAACUCCAGAGGUAUAUUAGAAAGAACUUGGAACAUAAGAAGAGUAUUUUCAAUAUUAGUCUUCUAAGAUGGGUAAAUAAGAAAAGCGGUAACUUUUCAGAGGUAUAUAGGCAAUUGCCCAUUUUUAUAAUAUGUUGUAAUAUUUUAUAUUAGUUUCGCAUAAUAUACUAUACUAUUCGUAAUUUAGUGUAAAAAUAACGCAAAAUGUGUAUUAAUAAUACAUAUCUUGCACUACUUAUACAGAUAUUGCACUAUUUGGAAGAGCAUGUUGCACUAUUUGAAAAUGUUGCACUAUUUGAGAGCAUAUUGUGCUCUUUUAUUUUAUUAAUUAUACUUUAUUUUUUUAUCUUGUCCUGAAUGAGGAUUCUUGUUUCACGAGAAAGGUACAUAUAAUUAUGACUUAACAGUUGUCAUUUUCAAAAAAUUUGACGCUUAAUAGAUUAGCAGUUGUAUUUUUCUAUGCAUUUAAAGUAUGUAACUUUUAUGCACUUUGAAAGAAGAAUAGUUUGGUUAUUUGUCUAAAAAUUCGGUUCAAAUCUGUAAAAUUCAAAAAGACGACCUACUUUUCGCGAAAGCUCAAAAUUAAUUGAUUUUUUAUGAAAAUUGGCCUAAAGUUUUUAGUAGUAAAAAUAUUUUUUAAAAAA
rnacentral:lncRNA from 1 species